rnacentral:rRNA from 1 species
UGCCAGCCGCCGCGGUAAUACGGAGGGUGCGAGCGUUAAUCGGAAUUACUGGGCGUAAAGGGUGCGUAGGUUGUUUUUUAAGUUAUCUGUGAAAUACCUGGGCUUAACCUGGGAAGGUCAGAUAAGACUGGAGAACUAGAGUAUAGGAGAGGGUAGUGGAAUUUCAGGUGUAGCGGUGGAAUGCGUAGAUAUCUGAAGGAACACCGGUGGCGAAGGCGGCUACCUGGCCUAAUACUGACACUGAGGCACGAAAGCGUGGGUAGCGAACAGGAUUAGAUA